UUCCACAGUUCCACAUAUGUCAAAACUUUUUUUUUGUCAACAACAAAAUGUUUUUAAAUGAUUAGAUUAUCAAUUGAAACAUCUUGCUCUAGACACAUUCAUCUAAAUAUAAAAAUAACUCAAGGAAACCAAAAAAAAUAAUAUUUUUAUAAAUAUGUUGCUUGAUAAAUUUCACAUUACACAAUAAAUUCAAUGAGUACAACUCUGUGUUAUUUGGGCCAAAAUUGGGCCCAUUUUAAUAGAUACACAGUUAUAUAGUUUAGUAAACUUUUGUGACUUGCCCAACAAACAACAUUUUCGUUCAAUACCCAAAUGGGUUUUAUCUUCUCAAUAGGCCCGUCAAAAAUUGCUGGAGACAUUUAUCCUUAGUUCUAGAGCUGCUUUGCUAGAUUUUUGAAAGCAGCCAUACUUAAUUGUUUGUUUAAAAUUGGUUUCAGUUCAUGUUGUCUAGGUAAUAGAGUUUUUUUCCCCUAUAUUCAUGUUGUUUCUGUCCAAACCAAAUCUCUAUUCUUGUGUCUGUUAUGUUAGUAGAGCACGUGUACAUUGGUUUUCGAAAUUUCCUUAUGGUUCUGAUAAGAAGGAAUCAAAGCAUAAUCUUGAGGUAGUAAAUCUACUGAUGCUUUCAGGUGGGACUUGGAAUUGAGAAAGAGAGAAAUUCAACUCGUCGAAGCCCCGAUUCGAAGAUGUUGAGGUAUCCUCUGAUGAAGAUGGGUAGCAAAAAAAAUAAAAAACUCUUACGCUGGCUUCACAAUAUGAAAGAAAAGAAAACAAAAAGAAUAAAGGUUAAAUCUCUCCUACACACACCUUUUAUAUCAGUCUUUCUUCUUUCUUUUUUGUUGUUUCCCCCACACAAUGAUUCUACAAUCUUUAUGAGUCAAUGUUUCUGUGUAUUCCUGUCGGUAAAAGUUUUUGGAAGCAACAGAUGAACUGUGGGUGAAGAUGCAUAUGCCAUUGUGAAAAGACACAAGAAGUAGCUAGUUGUCUGGUCCUCUAUGAGUUGGUUGAAGAUGGUUUUUACUUAGUCCGGUUUAAAGAAUCAGCUUCUCUUAUUCACCACUAUGGUUCGGUUAGUGGAGUUGUUUGCGUUGUUAUCCUUAGAACCAAUGUCUUCAUUUCUAUUAAUAAAAUUAAGAGAACAUUGUACGAGACAAAGAUCCUUUUAGCCAAGUUUUAGCAACAAAAUGAAACCCUAA